rnacentral:lncRNA from 1 species
UCCCAUCCCCGCCGCGUCCUCGGCUGUCCUCACCUGCGGGAUGUGCCUGGGCUAGUCCCAUCCCCGCCGCUGACAUUCCUCCCGCUCCCAGGGACACCCCUCCCCGCAGGUGUACCCGGUGCCCUCGGCUCACCCGGGCUUCAGACGGCCCCAGUGCUCUGGUGCUCUGGUUCUGGGAACAGGAGGGGUCCUGAGGCCCCCGGCCAUUUGGUGUGGGCCCGCACCCCGCUCCCCCCGCCAAACCCGCUGUCGUCUGGGCCCCCCUCCACGGCGGGUCCCAGCUCAAGGGGAGGGGCCACCCCAGCCCUAGGCUGCCCUCGGGGGUCACCCCGCCCUGCCCGGCCUCCAGCCACCUCCUCUCCCGUUUCCACCGGAGACUGCCCGUGUGGACCUGGCCUGCCGUGUGGACCUGGCCUGCCGUGGGCGCGCAGUGUGGCCCGUGAGGGGGUGGGGCCGGCGGUGGCGCCGUCGGGGAGCCCUCCCGGCCAGGCCCGCGCCCUCCGCAGCAGCCCAGGCACAGACCUGGCGGGGGAUGGCGCGACGUCACGCCGCACCUGCCAGCUCCGCGGGGCCGCGGUGGGGGGCGUCUGGGCCCCGGGCAUCCCAGGACCAGCCCUGCGGGAGGGGCACCGUGCGCCCUCGUGGCCCCACCCACCUCACCUGUCGGGCCGUACCUGCGGGGGGGGGGGGGGGGCGGUGCAAGGUGACUCAGCGGGCAGCGCGGUGGGGGAAGGGAGCGCCCGGGGCCUGAACCGGGCGGGGGGUGGGGUGGGGAGAGCUUCGCGAGCGUGGGGGGGGCAGACACGACCUGGUUUCCAGCGCGGGCCUCUCAGAGCCCUUCAUACCCACCUGCGCCGCGGCCUGCGGCCGGGACCCCACAAGGCACACGGGGCGAGGCCGGCGCGGUGUCCCCGACGCCACGGGCCUGGGCCUGGACCUGGACGGACAGCGCGCUCGCCUGCUUCCCUCCUCCCCUCCCUCCUCCCCUCCCUCCUCCCCUCCCUCCUCCCCUCCCUCCCUCCAUCCACUCGCUCCUCCGCGGGCGCAGCUGCGUCCCCGGCCUCGGAGGGUCGCGGGGAGGCGCACGCUCGGCCCCCCCACCCCUCCCCGGGCAGGGAAGCUCGCCGGCGACGCGGGGUCCUCGGGAGCGCCCCUCCGGCCUGGCGAGCCCCCGCCCGUGCCACGCGCCCCCGCCCGCCGCAGCCCCCGGGCCUGGAGCGCCCGCGGCCCGCAGCCUUCCGCGGGGCCCGGCCCACCCCCAGCCCGGCCCGAGCUUCCGCGUGCUGA